AACGAACGCUGGCGGCAUGCCUAACACAUGCAAGUCGAACGAGACCUUCGGGUCUAGUGGCGCACGGGUGCGUAACGCGUGGGAAUCUGCCCUUGGGUUCGGAAUAACAGCGAGAAAUUGCUGCUAAUACCGGAUGAUGACGUAAGUCCAAAGAUUUAUCGCCCAAGGAUGAGCCCGCGUAGGAUUAGCUAGUUGGUGAGGUAAAGGCUCACCAAGGCGACGAUCCUUAGCUGGUCUGAGAGGAUGAUCAGCCACACUGGGACUGAGACACGGCCCAGACUCCUACGGGAGGCAGCAGUGGGGAAUAUUGGACAAUGGGCGAAAGCCUGAUCCAGCAAUGCCGCGUGAGUGAUGAAGGCCUUAGGGUUGUAAAGCUCUUUUACCCGGGAUGAUAAUGACAGUACCGGGAGAAUAAGCCCGGCUAACUCCGUGCCAGCAGCCGCGGUAAU
rnacentral:rRNA from 1 species